GGCAAGACACGGGAAAAAGAGAGCCAUCUACAGCUUGUCAGUAAAGUUCAAAUAAAUCAGUACGAAUAGCCUAGUAGUUGUGGUGUUCACAGUGCAUACUUAUGAGUAUCUGGUUCUGCAGGUUAUACCAUAGAAAUGUGAAAUCUCUUUAGAAACCAAAUAACACAUGUUGAGACAAACAUGUUUAGGAACGAAACAUAAAUGCAACAACACAGUAGCAAUGGGUGGAUAAGAUUAAGUUACUGUCGUACUAGUAGCCAGUUCAGCGGAACAUCAUCCUGUACGGACAAAACGGCAUCCGUAGCUAGCAGACAAAGGGAUAGGGAGGGCUACAAGACUUCACCGAUGCAAGAAAACAACCUGAAAAACAAAGACCCUAAACAACUACGGAGAGCAUAUCGUAUCCUAAUCUGCACCCUCUCUAUGACAACAAGCAAGGCUACAUCCAUCCUCAACAUUGCCGAUCCGAACAGGGGCUGCUGCCGUCGCGGGGAGCUUGAAACCGUCUGUUGGUGAUCUUUUUUUUCAGUCGCUGUUCCAGGGUUUUAUCCACGCUCCCCCUGUUAUAGAAUGGUGGGGGCUUCUUAAAGGGAUAUAUACCUUUUUUGGUUUAUUUGCCAAACUAAAUGAUGAUAGACUGGUCAGUGUUCUUCAUUCCUGGGCUUGGAGACCCACAUGGAUGUGUGCAGGGUUUUGAUCAAGCACAGCACUAACAUGCCUAUUUUAACAGUACCCUACUGUGCCCACAUGUAGCUGUAUGCUCUGUAAGGUAUGUUCCGGCCAGGAAUGGUAUAUAACAGCUCUGUGUGUUCUGUUUAGAUAUAGUUCUAUGGCUGUGUUUACACAGUAAGCCAAAUUCUGAUAAUUUUGCCACUAAUUGGUCUUUUGACCUAUCACAUCAGAUCUUUUCACAUCAGAUCUUUUUCAGAGCUGAUCUGUUUGGUGAAAGGACCAAUUUAGUGAAGAAAAAAAGAUCAGAAUUGGGGUGCCUGUCUAACACAGCCUAUGUGUCUUGUGGGGGAAUUAUUAAUAAAAUGUGUACAUGUAUACCAAGUAUGAAGUUGAGGGAUCUGUG
rnacentral:lncRNA from 1 species